AGUACUUCCUCAGUUACAUUAGCUGCAUUUCCAAUUUUAUUUUUAUUAUUUGUUAUUAUUAUUAUUAUUUUUGGCUGUGCACGUGGCAUGCAGAAGUUCCCAGGCCAGGGAUCGAAUUCACACCACAGCAGUGACAAUGCCAGAUGCUUAACUGCUAGGCCACCAGGGAAUUCCUAUAAUUUGGUAUUCUCUUCCUCAAAGAGACCCUCAAUAUUUUAUUAACUUCAGAGUCUAUAAAACUGGUUGGAAAGACCAUAUCUUGUGCCUCUUUGAAUCCUUUUAAACUUGGUUUAGUAAUGCUGAUCAUCAUAAUGAUGAUGAUUCUGAGACUUACAGAGCAUUUACAAGGCAUUCUCAGUCAUCUCAUUGGAUCCUUACAAACUAAAAGUUAGGCAUGGCCAUUGCCACUUUUACAGAUGACAAAACUGACUGCAGAGACACAAAGUGAUUUUUGCCUAAGGCCACCUAGCUAGUAAGUGACGGAGCCAGAGCUGAAGCUCAAGACUAUGGAUUCCAGAUGUCAUGCUUCCUCCUCUUAGGUUUUUGCUGCCUGUGGGUUCUGAAAGCCUUUCCAGCACUUACGGGAGGAUGCUCCUCCCCACCCCACCCCAUGCAGACCCAUUCGAAGAGCACUCCAUCUCCAUCCAACAAUUAUCUAAGUUGAAGUCGUCCAUCCUGCAUUUUUAAGUUAUUUUCCAGAUAAUGAACAUUUUUAACCAAUACAGGGUGCCCGAUACUAAUCACACAGAGCAAUCCGUAGGUGUAGGAAUUGCAUUUACCUUCCAAGCCCUAAUUGUGUUCAUUUCUUUGGGAGAACUUCUUCAACUGCCUGUCUUCAAGAGACUCUUAAAGCUCCCAAGAAAUUGCUAAGUGAUACUAGGAAUACACUUGCCUGAAUCUAGAGAUUUUGGGUAAGUAGCCUCUAAUUUAUCAUUUUACAUUACAGAAAGCCUGGAGAAUUAUAUAAAAGCCUUUGGCUUUUGCAUCUGUAUGUAAAAAUAUUCCCAAACUAGAGGAGCCCUCGAUCAUUAAUGAUGUCUAAACACUGACCCUGGAGAAAUCACUGUGUGUCUAGUCAUUCCCAAGGACAUGCCAGCUGUAAAAGCCAUGCAAGGAAGUACCUCCACCAGCAGGCCCUUGUCUUCUUUCCCAGACUUAAGCUGUCAGUGGAAAAGAGGUAAACAGAGACAGAAGUUGAGAACUCAGUCUCUGGAGUCGGGCCAGGCUGGGUGUGACCCUAGCUCCACCCCUUACCAGCUGUGGGGCUUAUGCAUAUCGCUUAACUUCAUUCAUCGAUUCCACAAAUAGUUGCUCAGUGAGCACCUACUAAAUGCCAGCUGACCAUUGUAGGUACUGAGACAAAGGAGUGAAAAAACAAAACUAUUGGAGUUCCUGAUGUGGCACAAAGGAACAUCAGUGGUGUCUUGAGAGUGCUGUGACUCAGGUUUAAUUCCAGAUAGGCACAGUGGGUUAAGAAUCAGGCAUUGCUGCAGCUCAAUAUUUAGCCUCGAUUUUAGAUUUUAAAAACAUUUGGUAUUGCUUGUUUAUAUUUUGAGCCACUCCAAAACCCUGCUUUUUAGAAAAUUCUUGAGGGAUUUCCCUCAGUGGGGCAUGUAUGAGAAACAGUCUCUGGAGCUUUGGGCCACAUGGACGGGAACUGUGAGGGCAACGGGAGAGUUACGUCCACUUGGUGAACACAGCCAUGGUCAUGAUCAGAACUUGCUCAGGUGGCCUUUGCACAGAUAUUCAUAGAAGAGCUUCCUUUUCGGUUUUAUUCUGAAGGGAUUCUGCUGAUACUAUUUUUACCACUGGAAUUUCUGUCUGCCCAGAACACAAUUUUGAAGUUUCAAAUGAAACAUUUACCUGAAUCCCUGACAUUACAGCUCACAUUCAUUUCCUUUCCUCUUGCCCUCCAGGUCUCAGCAGUGAGAUGGCCCAACCAAGAAAGAGAUCCCCCCCCACUCCUGCUCAGAUCUGAUACCUGGGCUUUUCCUUGGGCCUCUCUGGGAUGUACCAAAACCCAAAGCCCAUGUACUGGCCAACCCUCCUUGGUACAGACACCAGGUCCAGAAUCACUCUGUCUUUGACAGUCAAGUGCACUGUCCUUUUCUCCUGCUCCUAAAGGAUCACACUAUCCUUCCUUGGUCUUUUUGUCAUUGAGAAUCCAUUUCCCAUUGGGAUCUGGAGUUCACUUCCUUGCUUCAAAUUUUUGAGAUGGGUUGAAACAAUAAGUAAGGUCAAAUUGUAUGAAAUUGCCAAAUAUCAGCUAUUUUUUUUUUUUUUUAACCUAAAGGAAGGAAGGAGGGGAGGAAGAAAAGCUUAAAGAAGCCAGGGCUGGAAAUAGGUAACUACUCAUCUAUUCUGCUCUUUAAUGAUAAUUGUAGUUGAUGGAAUGUUUCCUCUUUAUGAAGUACUGGGCCAAGCAAAAUUUUACAUACAUCAUCUCAGUCAUUGUAGCAAGUGCAUGAAGUCCAGCUCCCUCUAUCAUCUCAUUCAAUUUCCAGUUUAAGGAUGCAAAACUGAGGGUCAGAGUUGUCAAGAGUCUUUCCCAAGGUCCUUCAACUCUAACCAGAGAAGCCAAGAGCUAUAUGCUAUAUCUUCUAUGUGACAAGGAUGGAUUACAAAUCAUUAAUCUCAAUAACUUCCACUACCUUCUUGUAAUCACCUAUGUUGUCAUUAUUAUAAGAGUAAUAGUGUUCAAUAUAGGAAAUCUGAAAAUUGUAUAACAUAUGACAGAAAAAAAUUAAAAAUGCAUAAAUCAAAGAUAAGUUCUACUAAUAUUCUGGAGUCUCUCUCAUUCUGUUUUUCUGAUUUAUUCUGCUUUUUAACAAAUUUGGAAUUGUCCUGUUUAUAUUGCUUUGUACCCUGCCUUAAAAAAAUAAAUACUAUGUCAUGAGUAUUAUUCCAAAUCAUUAAAAAUUCUCCAAAAAAGUGUUUGGUCGCAUUAUAUUGAUAUAUAAGUACUAUAACAUUAAUUGUUCAAUUGUUUUCUUCUUGUUGGAAAAGAAGUUCAUGUAUUUUGCUGUUAUAUGAUAAAGAUCCUUGAACAAAAGUCUCUGUUUUUAGUCCCCAGUGGCAGCCAAGUUUGUCCUAGAGAUGAUCUCCUUCUGACAAAUGUCAUCAGUUACAUUUUCUGGUUGUUUAGUCACAAUGGAGUUGAUACAGCACACCUGCUGGGAGCUGACAUAGCUGUGCCUGUGGUGUGAGGGCCAGGCUAAAGGCCAACAACGGGCAGAGUGGCUGGACCUGCAGCCACUGCCCACUCGGUGCUGCUCUGGGCUCAGCCUGGUGAGGACUUCCUGGGGGAAGUGGGAGGAGCAGAGUGGCGGAAGCAGGGAGAGCGCAAGUGUGGCUACUGUCCUGCACCCCUGAGAGCUCACCAGCGGCACAGAGCAGCUCACCUUGGUCCAGCCUUGGCACGUAGGGUGGCACCUAUCAUGUGGCUUGGGACACUGCACGUGUCCUCAGGCCUUCCUUCUGCAGCACACUUUCUAACCACCACAAACAAAACAGAGGACAGUGAGCAAAACACUUCCUUUUAGUUCCUCUUACCUUCCUUCAAUCCCCAAACCUACUUGUAAGUGGUCAAACUCACUUUCCCCACUCAGAGAAGAAAGGAGGGGGCUGACUUCUUUCACUGGGGACAGGGAGAAGAAAGGAAAGGGAAGAAGGCAGAAACAUAGCCAUUAGACUACAUUACCAGUUUCAUCUCUGGCUUCAUGCUUUCUUUCCUAAAGACUCACAUUUUGUAAUAUUUUAAAGCACUUAACUCAGUAAGAUUUAUUGAAUGUGUACUAUAUGCAAAGCACUGUGUUUAAGGCAGUGGAGAAUGGAAAUGGCCAAGGCCUAUCUUAAAAAAAAAAA
rnacentral:lncRNA from 1 species